rnacentral:rRNA from 13 species
AUGGGGUGACUGCGUACCUUUUGUAUAAUGGGUCAGCGACUUAUAUUCUGUAGCAAGGUUAACCGUAUAGGGGAGCCGUAGGGAAACCGAGUCUUAACUGGGCGAAUGAGUUGCAGGGUAUAGACCCGAAACCCGGUGAUCUAUCCAUGGGCAGGUUGAAGGUUGGGUAACACUAACUGGAGGACCGAACCGACUAAUGUUGAAAAAUUAGCGGAUGACUUGUGGAUGGGGGUGAAAGGCCAAUCAAACCGGGAGAUAGCUGGUUCUCCCCGAAAGCUAUUUAGGUAGCGCCUCGUGAACUCAUCUUCGGGGGUAGAGCACUGUUUCGACUAGGGGGUCAUCCCGACUUACCAACUCGAUGCAAACUGCGAAUACCGAAGAAUGUUAUCACGGGAGACACACGGCGGGUGCUAACGUCCGUCGUGAAGAGGGAAACAACCCAGACCGCCAGCUAAGGUCCCAAAGUCAUGGUUAAGUGGGAAACGAAGUGGGAAGGCUCAGACAGCCAGGAUGUUGGCUUAGAAGCAGCCAUCAUUUAAAGAAAGCGUAAUAGCUCACUGGUCGAGUCGGCCCGCGCGGAAGAUGUAACGGGGCUAAACCAUGCACCGAAGCUGCGGCAGCGACACAAAGUGUUGUUGGGUAGGGGAGCGUUCUGUAAGCCUGCGAAGGUGUACUGUGAGGUAUGCUGGAGGUAUCAGAAGUGCGAAUGCUGACAUAAGUAACGAUAAUGCGGGUGAAAAACCCGCACGCCGGAAGACCAAGGGUUCCUGUCCAACGUUAAUCGGGGCAGGGUGAGUCGACCCCUAAGGCGAGGCUGAAAAGCGUAGUCGAUGGGAAACGGGUUAAUAUUCCCGUACUGGUGGUAACUGCGAUGGGGGAACGGAGAAGGCUAGGUUGUCCGGGCGACGGUCGUCCCGGUUCAAGCAGGUAGGCAGAGUGAUUAGGCAAAUCCGGUCACUUAAUGCUGAGAUGUGAUGACGAACCACCAAGGUGGUGAAGCAAUUGAUGCCCCGCUUCCAGGAAAAGCCUCUAAGCUUCAGGUUACCAACAAUCGUACCCCAAACCGACACAGGUGGUCAGGUAGAGAAUACUCAGGCGCUUGAGAGAACUCGGGUGAAGGAACUAGGCAAAAUGGUGCCGUAACUUCGGGAGAAGGCACGCUGGCGGUAGGUAAAGUCCCUCGCGGACGGCGCUGAAGCCAGUCGAAGAUACCAGCUGGCUGCAACUGUUUAUUAAAAACACAGCACUGUGCAAACACGAAAGUGGACGUAUACGGUGUGACGCCUGCCCGGUGCUGGAAGGUUAAUUGAUGGGGUUAGCGCAAGCGAAGCUCCUGAUCGAAGCCCCAGUAAACGGCGGCCGUAACUAUAACGGUCCUAAGGUAGCGAAAUUCCUUGUCGGGUAAGUUCCGACCUGCACGAAUGGCGUAAUGAUGGCCAGGCUGUCUCCACCCGAGACUCAGUGAAAUUGAACUCGCUGUGAAGAUGCAGUGUACCCGCGGCAAGACGGAAAGACCCCGUGAACCUUUACUAUAGCUUGACACUGAACAUUGAGCCUUGAUGUGUAGGAUAGGUGGGAGGCUUUGAAGUGUGGACGCCAGUCUGCAUGGAGCCAACCUUGAAAUACCACCCUUUAACGUUUGAUGUUCUAACCUAGGCCCAUAAACUGGGUCGGGGACCGUGUCUGGUGGGUAGUUUGACUGGGGCGGUCUCCUCCUAAAGAGUAACGGAGGAGCACGAAGGUUGGCUAAGCAUGGUCGGACAUCAUGCGGUUAGUGCAAAGGCAUAAGCCAGCUUGACUGCGAGAGUGACGGCUCGAGCAGGUACGAAAGUAGGUCUUAGUGAUCCGGUGGUUCUGAAUGGAAGGGCCAUCGCUCAACGGAUAAAAGGUACUCCGGGGAUAACAGGCUGAUACCGCCCAAGAGUUCAUAUCGACGGCGGUGUUUGGCACCUCGAUGUCGGCUCAUCACAUCCUGGGGCUGAAGUAGGUCCCAAGGGUAUGGCUGUUCGCCAUUUAAAGUGGUACGCGAGCUGGGUUUAGAACGUCGUGAGACAGUUCGGUCCCUAUCUGCCGUGGGCGUUGGAAGAUUGAGAGGGGUUGCUCCUAGUACGAGAGGACCGGAGUGAACGCACCACUGGUGUUCGGGUUGUCAUGCCAAUGGCAUUGCCCGGUAGCUAAGUGCGGAAGAGAUAACCGCUGAAAGCAUCUAAGCGGGAAACUUGCCUCGAGAUGAGUCUUCCCUGUCGCUUUAAGCGACCUAAAGGAACGUUUAAGACUAAGACGUUGAUAGGCUGGGUGUGUAAGCGUAGCGAUACGUUGAGCUAACCAGUACUAAUGAACCGUGAGGCUUAACCUGACAACACCGAAAGUGUUUUG